AGGGUCUGGUUUGUGAGGCUGCCCUCCACGGCGUGACGAGGGCCAUCUGUGCCCCAUUGGACUACUGCAGGGGACUCAGGGCUCGCCUGAGCGGCUUGUCUCUGCUUGGGCAGCAGUGGCUGAGGCAGCCUGAAGGUUAGACAGGUGUGACUCAGUGGCUAGCGACUGGAAUCAUCUCAAGGCUUCCCUCCCUCAGACAUCUGCUGGCGGUGCUGGUGUUGGCCAUGACCUCAGUGAAAGCUGAUGGCCAAACACAUACGACGUGGCUUCUCCAUGUAUCCACUCGGCUCCCCACAGUGUGGCCUACAGUGAUGAGGGAGGAGCACAGACCCCUCCCUCAGUGGGAGGAGUGUCGGCCUCCAUCUUGGAGACCCGAGAGCUGCUGUUGGCCAACUGGAAAAUGACCAUCUGCCACAGAGAGGAACAGGGGAGGGACAGUGUCAUGGGCUUGUUGCUGGAGAAUUAAGGAAAUUAAGGUUUUUUGUUUUUUGUUUUUUAAAGAUACAACUUUCAACAACUGGAAGAACGGAUUGGAGCAUGUGGAGAAAUGGCAAUGUAAUAAAAAAUAGAAGUAGAAUUUAAAAAAU